rnacentral:lncRNA from 13 species
UGUUACAGUAAUCCUAUAAGGUAGAGGUGUCACUUAGGAAUGUAUUUGGGAUAAAUUACAGAAAUAUCCCAUUCACAGUGGUUUAAACAAAUAUAGAUAUGAUUUCUGCUACAGAAGAAGAAGCCAGAGGGGGGCAGCUGUCAAAUUCAUUCUCAGUGGUGCCCCUAAAGGCCCCAGACUCUGGCUGUCAGUCCGUCUUCCUUUGCCCUCUGGGGAUUGUCUUCGCGUUUUGGCCUCAUGGUUGUGAGGUGGAUGGUGUACCUACCUCUGGGAUCAUGUGACAUUACACUUUACCUAGAAUGUCUGAGCAAAGCCUUCCUGGACCCCCUCAACUGUUUCUAGUUUUGUGUCAUUGGCAAGAGGUACGGCCCAUAAAUUUCCCAGCAGAAGAGAAGCUGGGAGAUUUAGCUUCUAGUCUUCAUGGUUGAGGAGGGCAAGGGUGAAAUGCAUUGGGGAUGGGUAUUGGGGUAGCCAACCUCCAGGGCCUGCCCGAUAGGCAGUGUCACUACCACAUUAGAAGACCAAGCUGCUCAGGAGGCCAAGUUAACUGGCUUGGAGUCUCAUGGCUGCUAAGUGUCAGAGGCAGAUUCCAAGCUGAGUCCUGACACCACAGCCUAUGGUGGUUUUACUGUUUCUGAUUGCCCCCUUCUCAGAUUCUCAAAGUUCACCUCAACCUAUGUUUACUGAACAUCUACUGCACCAAAAGCUCCGUAUUGGUGUCACACACGGAUACACAGAUGAGGGAAACAUUGUUCCUGCCCUUAAGAAAUUCAUCACCUUGAUGGGAGGAGACAGAUAUGCACAUAUGUAUCGCCAGUUUGAGGAAAAUGGUUGCUCGUAAGAACGCCUGCCAUCUUCUCCUCGCAUUUUCCAUUCUGAGCUCAGCCUCCGACGUGUGCUGCUCGCAGGCACCCACACUGCUGCACGGGGCUCCCAGCUCACAGGUCCAGCGCAUCACGCUUGGAGAGACCAGAGCAAUGGCGCAGAAUUUCCGUGUCAUCGAAUGUGCAGCGUCAGUGUGUGGACAGCUUUGGGAACCUCUUAGGACGACUUUAUUUUGCUUCACAGUGUGA